UAGUCAUAUGCUUGUCUCAAAGAUUAAGCCAUGCAUGUCUAAGUAUAAACGAGAUCAUACAGUGAGACUGCGGAUGGCUCAUUAAAUCAGUUAUAGUUUAUUUGAUGGUUCCUUAUUCACCACUUGGAUAACCGUGGUAAUCCUAGAGCUAAUACAUGCAUAAAACCUUGACUGGGGUAGGAGUGGUUCUUUUAUUAUAGCAAUAUAAUAAAAGGUACGCUCCAUUAGACCCUGGAAAGGGCGUAUUUAUUAGGUACAAAACCGGCGCGAGGCAUUC
rnacentral:rRNA from 1 species